rnacentral:rRNA from 1 species
UGCGUAGGCGGACUAAUAAGUCAGUGGUGAAAUCUUUCGGCUCAACCGAGAAACUGCCAUUGAUACUGUUAGUCUUGAGUUCGGUUGAGGUAGGCGGAAUGUGUAAUGUAGCGGUGAAAUGCUUAGAUAUUACACAGAACACCAAUUGCGUAGGCAGCUUACUAGACCGACACUGACGCUGAGGCACGAAAGCGUGGGGAGCGAACAGGAUUAGAUACCCUGGUAGUCCC